rnacentral:miRNA from 10 species
CCUGAGUUCUCUCCUAUGAGGUUGGUGCAAAAGUAAUUGUGGUUUUUGCCAUUGAAAGUAAUGGCAAAAUCCUCAAU